rnacentral:rRNA from 1 species
ACGCAUUUUUUCUUACCAUGUGUUUUUCUUUUUUUGAAAACUUUGCUUUGGUAGGCCUUCUAUAUGGGGCCUGCCAGAGAUUAAACUCAACCAAAUUUUAUUUAAUGUCAACCGAUUAUUUAAUAGUCAAAACUUUCAACAACGGAUCUCUUGGUUCUCGCAUCGAUGAAGAACGCAGCGAAAUGCGAUAAGUAAUAUGAAUUGCAGAUAUUCGUGAAUCAUCGAAUCUUUGAACGCACAUUGCGCCCUUUGGUAUUCCAAAGGGCAUGCCUGUUUGAGCGUCAUUUCUCCCUCAAACCCUCGGGUUUGGUGUUGAGCGAUACGCUGGGUUUGCUUGAAAGAAAGGCGGAGUAUAAACUAAUGGAUAGGUUUUUUCCACUCAUUGGUACAAACUCCAAAACUUCUUCCAAAUUCGACCUCAAAUCAGGUAGGACUACCCGCUGAACUUAAGCAUAUCAAUAAGCGGAGG